GUGUCCCCUCCAGGCCCACGGCACACCGCCCAGCGAGCACCAGGCCGGGUGGUCACAGCCAUGAUGAAACUGGGCAGAGAAGUUCAACCAGCUGUUGAAAUGUGUGCAACAGUGACCUGUCUUGUGAUGGAAACAAUUUCUUUCCACUUUGAAAUGUGGAGCUGUGGCCAGGAGGACGAGUGGGCUUUCGGCACGGCAUCUGGACGGAGUUUGGGUGCAACGCGACGUGGCCGUGGGGGCCCCUUCGCCCCAGAAGCGUGAGAGACCGUCUUUAAGCCAAUAGCACGAUUGGAAAACCUUCUUCGAAGUGAUCAGCGCUGAGAUCGCUUUUGCCGGGUCGACACUCGUCCUGGUCCUUCUGACCGAGCGGCUUCCUGCACGGACGUCCGCCUGGGGGCCCCCAGAGGCGGGAGCGGGCCUCCGCUUGAUCAUUGGGGUGCAGGAGACCUCGUAGUCCCCUGGAGGUGGAAUCGAGCAGGACAGGGGACCUGUGUGGCAGAGGGUCAGCGGUUGCUGUCACGCCUGCCACCAUCCCCCACCUUCUGGGCCUGAGCGGGAGGCCACCCUGGGGCUGCUUAGCACCCGGCUGUUUGUUUUACUGGGGAUGGGACCCUGCCAGCACCCGACUCCGCCUGCAACGGUCGCUCUGCUUGGGCCCGGCUCCUUAGCGUGUUCACAGGGGUAGGGGCCCCACCCUACUGACAUCUGGGGUCCGGCCGCGGGUUGGGGGUGGGGGGGUGUCAAGGCAGAUGUGUUUGGGUGCCCAAGGGGGUCGUGUCUGGCUCCCAGAGCCCCGUUUUCCUGCCGUGAGGGGCAGAUCCUCUCCUGGCUGAGGCCUCUGCCCCGACGCAGCCUCCAGGCCGUGAUGCUAAUUCCUGGACCAUCUGCCUGUAACCUCCCACAAAGGUCUGCUUCUGGUGUUUCUCUGGCCUCUGUUUCCCCAGCUGUCAUUUCAAGGAAAGUGUGCUCUCUGCAGCAGGCAGGUGGGAGAGAUCUGCCGCCUUGAGGGGAGGGGCCAGGAGCCAAGGAGGCGGGAGCUUCUAGAACAGGGAGGGGCAAAGGAGGGGAUUCUCCACGGGAGCCUGGCCGCGCCCACACCUGGAGUUCAGCCCGGCGAGACCCAUUUCAGAGCCACAGGUAGUUAAGGUGCGUGGUGAUGAGCGCCGUGUCUGUGGCCGCGUGUUGUGGCCGCAGCAAAGCCGGCCAAGGAGGGGGAGGAAAAGCAGGACCACGAGCUGAAGGACAGGCCAGAGGGGGCCCCGGACUUAGCCGCAGGGCGCGGGGCAGUCACGGAUGCGUCCGAGCAGCCGGUGACCGGGUACAGGUCGAGGUGCAAAGGGGCAAGGACAGCAAGGGAACAAGGGGGCGGUAGGGCCCCAGCCCCAUCCCGGGAGAGAGGCUGGUGCAGGGAGCAGGGUCCACGGCCGGCUGUAGAGAAGGCCUUGCACUAGCUUAUGGGAUUUUACGGCUGAGUUGGGAGGUUGAACUCGGGUGGUAAGGGGUCGCCCCUGAAGGUGAUGCUGCAGGGCUGUGGCGAGAUGGGGUGGGGGGAGCGGUCAGGGGUCUGUUUGUCCCUGUUGGCUGGGGAGGGUACCGAUCGGGUCUGGGGGCGCUGGUGUCCAGGAGGAACACGAGGGGCUGUGGACUAGCGAACCUGAACUUUCACAAACAGAUGCACCGCCCCCCAGCCCCCCGAGAGCCUGCCGGAGCCCCGCCGGUCCUGGUCGGCCCCUCUGCCCUGGGCCGUCGAAGAAAGACAACGCAACGAGGGAACAGAGGCGAGGAAACCAGACCUUAGAGGAAGACGUCAUCGGCCAAGACCAGACGUCGGCUGCCCCGUCCACGCCCCCCUGAGGCUGCCCCCCGAAGGCAAGAACGUGAGGGAGGCAGAGUGUCCGGACAGAGGAAAAAGAGCCGGGAAUGUUCUCCGCUAGCAUUCGCUGCACCCACGGCACCUGCCAGCACCUACUGGGCACGGGGCUCCGGAGACCCUGUCUCUAGAGGCUCCCCAAAGAGGGGAGAUUCCACAGACGGGGGUCUCUUCUGAGGGAGGCCCACAUGCCUGUGUGUAUUUACGUGGACCGGCCCCUUUCGGUCAUGCCAGGGUGGAUCGUAGGAACCGGGUCCCCACCGCGACCCUCCGCGGGAGUCCCGCCCAGGCAGCUUGGGCACAGGGAGGAAUGCAUCACGAGUUUCAGCUGGACAGCGGCCCUGCCGUCCGUUCCCACCACCCCUCUCCCUCCCCGGACGCUGGCCGGGCUGCCUGGCUGUCUGUCUUCUCUCUGUGGCUCAGGUUCGGGCUUCCCACCGUAGGGUCUCAGGUCCAGCACUGCGCUCGGCACCACCUAGAUAGUCAUUCAUUCGCCCGCUCAUUUGAGGGCCCACCGUGUGCCACGCACGUCUGUGAAUGAACCUGAAGGAACGAAUAAAUGCUUGCGAUGCAAA